rnacentral:lncRNA from 1 species
GAGCCCACGCAUGCCGGGGCUCAGGAGACACCGCGGCUCCGAUGCGCUCAUCUUUGCCUGCUUGCGUGAGUGCGUGCGUACGACCUUAUUCACAGGAUUCGGGUUAAUUCAAUACUACAAUGUGAUGAGAAGAGACCAUUUCCAAGGGAAAAAAUACAUGUGAAGUUAGCCCCGUUGACAAUUCAGGGGUGUUUAUGAAUGAAGUUUUUUCACAGUUUUGAAAAAAUACUGCAGUAAUAUAUAUAAAAUGAUGUUUGGCAAGCUAGCUAAAAUCUUUAUUUUCAAAACUGAAGUAUUGCAAAAAAAACUGUAGAUGUUUUAAGGUAUUAUAAACUUAGGUAUGUGCCUCAAUUUUUAAACUGUAGUAUUUUAAAUUGUGUUAUUGUCUUGACUAAAGUACGUUGUAGUAUUUCAAAUACUAUCGUUUUCAAAAAACUUUGUUCCAAAACAGGGCCUCAUUAUAUGCGUGAUUGGUUGGUGAGUGCAGGAGCGCUUGGCUCAAGCCAGUAUGGACCAGCAGAGAACCUCGCUCUUCCUCGUCUCCGAUAUGCAGGCUGGAAGGGAGAAAAUGGACUGGGUUGCACGCAUGCAGGCGGGCUCGUUUCCUCGUGUCCAGUCAACGUAUCUGGUGGGCCUGGACGUCGGUGGCGCAGCAACCCAUCACAAGUUAUAGGUCCAUGUUGUUUGACCUAUUUUACUUUUAUAUGAGAAAACUGUGGGCAUAUCACUUUUCUUGGCCACUCAAGACGAAACUCGCUGAUGCACGUAGCACUUUGAUACAAAUGGUGCAUAUAUUAUACUCCCUCCGUAGUCGUUUUAAGUCUUAGUUUUAUGUCUAUAUUUAAAUAGUUAAAGAUGAAGCUAGACACAUACAAAAUACAUGCAUCAAAAAUUGUAUGAACCCACUAAUUUCCCUAAAACGACUACUAUUUU